rnacentral:rRNA from 1 species
GACGAACGCUGGCGGCGUGCUUAACACAUGCAAGUCGAACGAUGAAGUUCCUUCGGGAAUGGAUUAGUGGCGAACGGGUGAGGAACACGUGAGAAACCUGCCUUUCAUUUUGGGAUAACUCCGGGAAACCGGGGCUAAAACCGAAUACUCCGGCUCGGCGGCAUCGCUGAGCCGGGAAAAAACUUUGAUGAAAGAUGGUCUCGCGGCCUAUCAGCUAGUUGGUGAGGUAAUGGCUCACCAAGGCAACGACGGGUAGCCGGCCUGAGAGGGCGACCGGCCACACUGGGACUGAGACACGGCCCAGACUCCUACGGGAGGCAGCAGUGGGGAAUAUUGGGCAAUGGGCGCAAGCCUGACCCAGCGACGCCGCGUGAGGGAUGAAGGCCUUCGGGUUGUAAACCUCUUUCAGUAGGGAAGAAGCGAAAGUGACGGUACCUAAAGAAGAAGCACCGGCUAACUAUGUGCCAGCCGCCGCUGUAA